GUCAUCUGUAGUUUCCACCUUAUUUGGAGUGAGUAGUAAUCCGUUACUUAGAUACUAUCCUAACAUCCUGUUUCAUCUUUAGUCACUUUUUCUUACAUCUCCAUCUUGGAUGCAUCAUUUUCUGAAUUCACUAACUCAGUGCUCUUGUCUCUACUUAUUCUUCUUUCUGUAAAUAAUUGGCUGUUUUGUUCCUGUGUGUAUUGUAAAUAAACUGUAUAGCUGUGUUCCUGUUUUGUCUCUUUUGGUUCAACCCGCGACCUGGAAAGGUGGAUAGUCCAUAGUCCGUCGUCCAUCGAUCCUGCUACAUACUGGUUAAAAACAUCAAAGGGUGACGUCAUAUCUAUGUUUCAAUUAAUAUUAAAGGAAUGUGAAAGAAAUUAGUGCUAGAUAAACAAGAUUAAAUGAUACCUGGGUUACAGUGGACUGACCAUAGUAAUGGUGUUACAAAACUAAGAAAACCUCAGGUGAAAGUUGAAAUAAACAACCAGUGAGCUGGGUGAACUGGAACUCACUGGAAACCUUUAGGAAGAGUGUAUAGAACAGGAUAGUUUAAAGAGGCAGUGAUGUGUAACAUAUUAUCUAAGAUUAAAUUAGCAUUGUGACCAUAUUAAAAAACCUAUAAAUUAAAUAAAAUCACUCUACCACAUAUUCAUUACUUUUAGAUCAUCUAAUGAUAUAAAAAUGUAAGAUUAUAAUCUUAGGAGAUUUUUAAUUUACAUCUAGACAAUUCAUGUGAUCCAUCAACAAGAAAGUUUUUUGAGAUUUUAGACAAUAGAUCUUUGAAUCAACAUGUGACAAAUCCAAUGCAUAGGUGGACAUAUUUUAGAUCUUGUUAUCACUAGAUGUGAUGAAUUAACUUUAAACACCCCCUCUGUUUCAGAUUGUUUGAUCACUUCCCAGUGUGCUUCAAUCUUCAUAUUAAACCACCUAACCCUGUCAGAAGAACAUUUAUGUAUAGAAACUUUAAAUCGCUUGACAUAAAUAAGGUCAAAUCUGAACUUAAUAAUCUACGUAUUGAUAUAGCAUCCAUUGAAAACAUCCACAAUAAAGCGGUCACUUACAAUAUCCAAUUAGCUGUAGCUAUCGAAUCAGUAGCUCCUUAAAAAACAAAAACUAUAACGGUUCGCCCUAACACUCAGUGGUAUAAUGAAACUAUACUGGAAGCCAAAAUAGAACGGAAUAAAGCAGAACAUGUCUGGCGAAGAAUUAAUUUAGAAAUACACAAACAAAUAUAUAAACAUUUAAAAAACUGAGUGAAUUAUAUGAUUGAUAAGGUUAAAGAGGAUUUUUAUUCUGAUAAAAUUGAACAUGGAACAAAUAAGCAGAAAGAUUUAUACAAAAUCGUAAAUGUCUUAUAACUAGGUGGUAAUUCACAGAACACUAUUAUUCCGAGCAUUGAUAAGUCGUCUGAUUUAACUAGCUGUUUCUCUGACUAUUUUAGAUCUAAAAUACAAACUAUAAGAGAGGGGCUAGAUGCUAUAAAUACAAUCUUUGAUUACUGUUACUGUCGUUAAAUAGUUAGUGGUCUCAUUCCCUGUUUGUCAGAGUUAAGAGGAGUGCCUGGUAUGACCCUGGCUCAAAUUUGUUGUAUCAUGGGGAGUACUUAUUGUUUACUUUAUAUUAUAUAGUUUAUGCAUCGUUUUUCUUGCAUAGCCAGCCACAUACCCCAGAAUUUAUGUGUAUAUGAAUUAUGCAAAUUAAUCUAGGUUCUAUCCAUGUUCUUAACAUGGAUCCAUCAGCCUUAAAACAAUAGUCAAAGUAUUAAGGAUUACUCAGCACAUGGUUGGUGAGUUGGGAGCAUAGUGGCGGACAUGUUGUAGUUUAUUUCCCCUGUAAACUCAUAGAGAUUUUACGUCUGAAUUAAGUCUGAAUCAAGUAUGAGAAGAGCCAAAAAUGAUCUGUGAAACUUAAGUAACUUUCUUCUCUGUAAAAUGUCAAUAUAAACAUUCAAUUACAUUCAGUCAGUAAACUAAUAUAAAACCUAUGAUGAUUCUCCUGUUAUAAAAGUUAAGCCUCAAGUGACGGUAGUCAACAGAAUCCGGAAAGGUCUAGCCCUGUCAGCCAGGCCUGCCCUACUGCCAUGCGCCUAGUUAAGCUCAGUGCACGACGUGUGAUGUGUCGUGCAUGGCAGCUAUAAUUACAAUCCACAUAAUUAUGUUCGAUAAAUCUAAUGUUUCUUCUACUUUAAAUACGUUUCAUUUUGUAUCUGAGGAUACGGUUAGAAGAGUAAUUAAAUCAUCACCUUCCAAAUCAUGUACAUUAGAUCCUCUACCUACUUCUAUUCUCAAAGAAUGCUUAGAUGAAAUUAUUCAUGUUAUUGUUGAUAUUAUCAACUCUAGUAUUAAUUCCUGUGUUAUUUCUGAUGUUUUUAAGUUAGCAUAUGUCAUUCCACUGAUCAAAAAGCCGAAUCUGGACCCCAAUAUCUUUAAAAAUUAUAGACCAGUUUCGAACCUUAGUUUCAUUUCAAAAUUACUUGAAAAAUUAACUGCUUAGAUGAGCCAUUUCAAAGUGCAUAUAAGCAAUUCCAUAGUACUGAAACUGCCCUAACAAGAGUAUCCAAAGAUAUACUUCUUGAAUUAGAUAAGAAGUGUGUAUUUUUGCUUUUAUUGGAUCUAUCUGCAGCAUUUGACACUGUUGACCAUUCUAUUUUUCUUCACAGAUUAUGUUUUAGAUUUGGUAUACAGUGAUGCAUUGAAACUGUUAAAGUUAUUUAGUGGAUCAGAAAAUAACAAAAACACUGCUGUUUGUGAAAAUGUCAUUUGAUAAAAUGACGAUCAUUUAUUAAAUAACAAAAUUAGGAUGAUACAAGUGAAAUUCCCAAAUUAAUGGAAAAUAGCAAAACAUUAUGGGAAAUAGUACUGAAUGAGUGUUGGGCUUAACGAAACGAUCAUGAAAUGGCCAAACACGUCUCCUAUGGGGAGAUGUCUUGCCCAACACAAGGGAGAAAGUUGUGACCCCACAGGGAACCAACAGUGAACCCAACAAACCAACUGGAUAACAUACAUGUACCCUGGGCAGCCUACACUGACGCCAGGUUGAGUUCAUUAGAACUUGGUGUGAGGCUAACAUCCAAGCUUCCAAAACAAUCCAAUAAUCUAAAGGUCAACCCGCAUAACUGACCCUGAUCAGGCGAAAUUAGAUAGAAGCGGAUAAAGAAGGUAAUCUAAUAUAAGAUUGGACAGCUGAGCUCUUCCAGGGACCUAAAACACGAAUUUGGUCUUCAGACAGACCAGCCAUAAAUGCUGUUGUAGCACUUCCACUACGAAAAGAGUGAAGCUUGAAUUGAUCCGGAUUUAUGCCGAGGAAAGUCACCAUUUUGUGUAAGCUAGCAUUGACAAAAUUGUAACGUGCAGGUGAGCCAUCUGCAAAUUGAAAUAAUGGCCCAGAGGAGUGUGGUAUAGCUUGUUAAUAUGACCAAAGAUUGCAGGGGGCACAAGUAAUGUUACUUUCGGAAGUGCAUGAGCAAUUAAGAAAUAAUCCAGUUGGUGAAGAUGUGGUUUUAUGUUUAUAAUAAUGAUGUAUGGCUAUCUCAAUGGCGGAGACAGAGGAAGCAUGAAAUGUAAACUGAAUGUUGCCAACGCAAAGAGUAUUUUGCAUGUGUAAAGAUGAUUUAAACACUAAUUCACCAAGGCGAAAGAACCCUGCAAAAGCGAGGGAGAAAAUGGCUCGUAAAAGAAUGCGAUGUACCUGGAGUGGGAUGACCAGUGGAAGGGCAUGUAAUACUCAGCUAUAUAUUUCUUUUAACCCCAAAUAUCCAUCUUCUUUUAACCUAUCUAAACAACAACUUGAAGAUUGUAUUAGUAAAUUAAGACUAUGGAUGUCUAAGAAUUUCUUAAAUUAAAUGACGAUAAAACAGAAUUUUUUUCUUUUGGGAUCGAAAUAUCAAUUAAAUAAACAUGUACAUUCUAAUUUAUCCAUUGUUAUAGGUGAUUGUGAGAUUAACCCUACUGCUUUUGGUCGAAAUAUUGGUGCGAUGUUUAAUAAUUUUAUGAAUAUGGAAGCACAAGUUAAUCAUAUAUCUAAAGUUUGUUAUUUUAAUAUUCGCAAUAUUGGUAAAAUAUAAAACUAUUUAUCAAGAGAUGCAACAAAACCUCUUAUUACUUCCCUUGUGACUUCAAGACUUGAUAAUUUUAACCCUCUAAUAGUUGGCUAACCCCUUAAACUUAUUAACAAACUCCAACGAAUAUAAAAUACUGCUGCUAGAUUAAUAACCACAAUGAAUAAAUAUACAAGUAUAA